rnacentral:rRNA from 1 species
CAAACUCCUACGGGAGGCAGCAGUAGGGAAUCUUCCACAAUGGACGCAAGUCUGAUGGAGCAACGCCACGUGAGUGAAGAAGGCUUUCGGGUCGUAAAACUCUGUUGUUGGAGAAGAAUGGUCGGCAGAGUAACUGUUGUCGGCGUGACGGUAUCCAACCAGAAAGCCACGGCUAACUACGUGCCAGCAGCCGCGGUAAUACGUAGGUGGCAAGCGUUAUCCGGAUUUAUUGGGCGUAAAGCGAGCGCAGGCGGUUUUUUAAGUCUGAUGUGAAAGCCCUCGGCUUAACCGAGGAAGCGCAUCGGAAACUGGGAAACUUGAGUGCAGAAGAGGACAGUGGAACUCCAUGUGUAGCGGUGAAAUGCGUAGAUAUAUGGAAGAACACCAGUGGCGAAGGCGGCUGUCUGGUCUGUAACUGACGCUGAGGCUCGAAAGCAUGGGUAGCGAACAGGAUUAGAUACCCUGGUAGUCCAUGCCGUAAACGAUGAGUGCUAGGUGUUGGAGGGUUUCCGCCCUUCAGUGCCGCAGCUAACGCAUUAAGCAUUCCGCCUGGGGAGUACGACCGCAAGGUUGAAACUCAAAGGAAUUGACGGGGGCCCGCACAAGCGGUGGAGCAUGUGGUUUAAUUCGAAGCAACGCGAAGAACCUUACCAGGUCUUGACAUCUUUUGAUCACCUGAGAGAUCAGGUUUCCCCUUCGGGGGCAAAAUGACAGGUGGUGCAGGGUUGUCGUCAGCUCGUGUCUUGAGAUGUUGGGUUAAGUCCCGCAACGAGCGCAACCCUUAUGACUAGUUGCCAGCAUUUAGUUGGGCACUCUAGUAAGACUGCCGGUGACAAACCGGAGGAAGGUGGGGAUGACGUCAAAUCAUCAUGCCCCUUAUGACCUGGGCUACACACGUGCUACAAUGGAUGGUACAACGAGUUGCGAGACCGCGAGGUCAAGCUAAUCUCUUAAAGCCAUUCUCAGUUCGGACUGUAGGCUGCAACUCGCCUACACGAAGUGGGAAUCGCUAGUAAUCGCGGAUCAGCACGCCGCGGUGAAUACGUUCCCGGGCCUUGUACACACCGCCCGUCACACCA